rnacentral:lncRNA from 1 species
AAAAGAAAAAACAAACCACAUGAUUCAGGCUCAGGCCACUUCUUUGCUCAAAACCUUCCAAUACACCCCAUUUCACACCGAGUAACCAAGGUUCUCCAAUGGCUCAUGAGGCCCCAAAUGCCCUGAGCCCUGUUAUCUUUCUGGCUCUAGACUCCUUUCUUUCUUUUUUUCUUGUCUUUUGGCCUCUUCUAGGGCCGCUCCUGCGCGGCAUAUGGAGGUUCCCAGGUUAGGGGGUCUAAUCAGAGCCUAUGCCAGGGCCACAGCAACGCAGGAUCUGAGCCGCAUCUGCAACCUAUGAAAGGAUGAAAAUGCAACCUGACUCUCCCAGAACCCAGGAAGUUAAUAAGAAGCUCUAAAUGCCCUCGAAUUCCGGACCCUGUUCCCUAUAGGUAAAAGAUCAUACUUUUUGCUGUUUUACGGCUUGCUUUCUGCUCUGUACAAAACUUUGUGGAAGGGGAAAAACAGGCCCCUGAGUAUGUGCCUCUAUGCUUGAAACUUCUUGAAACUGCUCCUAACUGCUUGUUUGGCUUCUGUAAACCUGCUUGCAUAAGAUAAAAAGAGGAGAAGUCAAUUGCCUAACCGACCCCAGUAAGAUCGGGCGUGCCACAAAAUGUUGAAAAUCCUGAUAAAUAUAUCUUGGUGACAAUAUGUCUCCCCCACCCAGAGACAGGCACAAACAUGUAACUCCAGAACAACUUAAAAUUAAUUGGUCCACAAAGCGCGGGCUCUUGAAGUUUUGAAUUGACUGGUUUGCGAUAUUUUAAAAAUGAUUAGUUUGUAAAAGCGCGGGCUUUGUUGUGAACCCCAUAAAAGCUGUCCCGACUCCACACUCGGGGCCGCAGUCCUCUACCCCUGCGUGGCGUACGACUGUGGGCCCCAGCGCGCUCGGAAUAAAAAUCCUCUUGCUGUUUGCAUCAAGACUGCUUCUCGUGAGUGAUUUGGGGUGUCGCCUCUUCCGAGUCAGGACGAGAGGGAUUUUAACUCGACUGGGCUUUCAUUUUGGUGCGUUGGCCGGGAAACCCGCGACUACCCCUCACACCCGAGAACCGACUUGGAGCCUUUGUUCUCUAGGCUCAAGGCGCUCGAGUGGGUGAGGCAGCGAGCGUGGAAGCAGUCCGGGAGCCUACUCAGGAGGAGACUUGCAAGUUCCACAUCGCUUCCAAGUUGGGGAUUCAGUCUAUGUUAGACGCCACCGUGCAGGAAACCUCGAGACUCGGUGGAAGGGCCCUUAUCUCGUACUUUUGACCACACCAACGACUGUGAAAGUCGA